UGCGUAGGCGGUCUUUCAAGCCAGAAGUGAAAGGCUACGGCUCAACCGUAGUAAGCUUUUGGAACUGUAAGACUUGAGUGCAGGAGAGGAGAGUAGAAUUCCUAGUGUAGCGGUGAAAUGCGUAGAUAUUAGGAGGAACACCAGUAGCGAAGGCGGCUCUCUGGACUGUAACUGACGCUGAGGCACGAAAGCGUGGGGAGCAAACA
rnacentral:rRNA from 1 species